GUGGGGUUGUCAGAGGACUGUGGCCGGGAGAGGGCCUUAACCUCCCCUUCUUGUGCCUCUCCUGGGUUACUAAACCACCCUGUUUUGUGGGUCUGCUUCCUAGUCCAACAAUAAAGGAAGUUUCCCAAGGAGGGAUCUAUGCUAAGAGCGGAGGGAAAGCCCCCUGCAGAAGUGGCUAGUGUGGACGGAGUGGCUGGGUUCAUGCUGGCUCUGAACCCAGACCUGGGAAUGGACCUGCUUCCAGAGAACUCCACAGAUACAGCGACACGCCUGGAAGGAGUCCCUGAGCACAGUGGAGAGCAGCUGAGGAAGGCGACGGCCAUCCCACACUCUUUCAGCUCCCUUCCAGACGUCCCAGGCCCUGCCUCUCCCAGCCCAGAGGGGCUGGAGGGGCCACCUAGGGCUGCACCAGGCAGUGGGGAAGGGAGAAAACGAAGGAGCCACUCAGAGGAACAGCCUUCCCUUUUCAGGACUGUUGGGUUCAUUUGUUACUUUUCAUCUCCUGAGGGGAGAGGCUGGCUCCUUGCAGAGAGCAGGCAUCUAGAGACACUUGGCGGGGGAAGGGGUCCUGAAACCAGGCUGUGAGUCUCCCACCCACGUGGGCCUGUCUGUAUCUGUGCGUUGCUGGUUUUCAUUUUAAUGGUUCUAAUUUGAGAAUGCGCCGGUGUCAUUUUUACGAGGUUGGUGUAAAAAAAAUUUACAGCCUUUUC